rnacentral:lncRNA from 1 species
UUACAAGUUGUGUUCCUCAUUUGAUUAAAGCUUCUUUUUUUUUGUUACCAGCAAUACAUUGACAAGUUGUUUCGUAUGGAAAAAGGGACCCUUUUCUCAUCAUCAGUUUUUGUGUUGAAGUCAGCUCCCAUGUAGCAGCAAAGGUGGCCAUGCAAGGAACGUGCUUCAACAGCAAAACUGGUGCAGCAAGCUGAAGCUAUCCAUUUAGUUUCCUUAAUUGGAUGUUUUGUAUUUAGUUAGGAUCAAACUUAGUUGGUAGCUGCAUUUUGAUGUAACUAAGUGAUGAAUGACAAGUUUAGGUAGCUGUUUAUGUAUUCAAACAAGUUUACCAAGUUACUAGGCAAAUUAG